CAUUCAUUCAUUCCCGCAGCCGCAGCCGCCGCCGCCGCGCCAACCACCUCCCCCCGACGGACCUCGAUCCGCCGCCAAUGGCGCUCCCAGACCCGCGACGGUCACGGCCUCGGCGGGCGAAUCUGCUCGACUUCGGCGCCGGGAGAGGAGAGGAGCCGCCCCUCCCCUCCCCUCUGCGUGGUUCCGCUCGAUGGCCGAGCGGUUCCGCGUGAGGCGAGGGCUCGACUGCUCCGACGCCUCAAGGUGCACGAAGGCCCUAGGUGCUGGCGUGGUGCAGGGGAUCUCACGAAUUCCACCACACACACCUCGCCGCCGUUCAUGCUCCGUCCGGCUUCAGCAGGGCCAGCAAGACGCGACUUCCGCUUCUUCCUGUCCCACGACGCCUCCUCCAAGCCGCUCAAGCAGCAGCAGCCAUGAGGUGCCUGUAACAGGCUCAUAAUAGGAACGAGUGAGGCG